rnacentral:rRNA from 1 species
GUGCCAGCCGCCGCGGUAAUACCGGCAGUCCGAGUGAUGGCCGAUCUUAUUGGGCCUAAAGCGUCCGUAGCUGGCUGAACAAGUCCGUUGGGAAAUCUGUCCGCUUAACGGGCAGGCGUCCAGCGGAAACUGUUCAGCUUGGGACCGGAAGACCUGAGGGGUACGUCUGGGGUAGGAGUGAAAUCCUGUAAUCCUGGACGGACCGCCGGUGGCGAAAGCGCCUCAGGAGAACGGAUCCGACAGUGAGGGACGAAAGCUAGGGUCUCGAACCGGAUU